CAAGUUCCUCUGGAAAUUAGUUGGCAACACUGAGCGGAAUGCGGCGAAAGCAACUACGGGGUGCCGAUGACUCGAUUGUGCUGCUCAGAAAUGCAGGACAGUCCAGAAGAAUGACACGUCUGCAUUACUUGUGACAUGACUUCCUGACUUCAAGGCAUCUGAUCAGAAUCUCCACUUGGAGUUCCAUUCUGGAAUAGGAAUGUGUGCCGAAUACCUGAUUCCAGACCACGAGACUGAUGCGCUUUGUGAAAAUCCAGACGUGGGGAUGCCGUUUCCUGAAGGGAUCACGACCUUCUGGGUUUAAGUGGUGUGGUCAGUGGACUUGCAGCGUGGACUCCCAACAUACUGGUUCAUCUGUAUGUGGCUGAACAGGGAGCUGUGAUGCCAACUAGACUGGUCCUGAUGGUGGUACCAGACUGGUCACUACAAGAUGCCUGUUACUGAACUACCUCAAGUUGAUGUCCUUGUGGGUCUGCAGUCUUCAGGAAGGUCCUAAAUGUUCCAGCCUGGCCACUGGAGGAAUGUUACUGAACUACCUCAAGGUUUAUGCCCCUCUGGUUGAGGUCUGCAGGGUUUGGAAAGGUGUGUGUGACUUUUGACGGAAUCGUGAGACUCCUUCCACAUGAAGCAUUCUGGAAUUUUAUAAAUGAUGAUUUCCUUUGUCCCAGUCUGUUGGCAGUCCUGUGUUCUGGGGCUGGAUUAAGGUCUGGCCUCCCAUCGGUCCUCCUGUGGGUUGGGCAGACACUGACAAGCCUGCUCUUGUAGAGGGGGCAGGGGUAAGGUGGGCUGCCUGCCUGGAGGGAGGGUGUCUGGGUGGGGGCUUGACCCCAGACCCUGGACCGCUGGCUGGCUACAAUGACUGAACUACACACCUGAUCUGGUUUCAGAAUGUUCUGGAUGUCGUCUCGUAAUCUAAGAUGGGGAUUGUUUGGUUUUAAAACUGUUCUGUUUGUUUAGAUCUGGUUGGCUGCUGAAGUGUUGCUGUGCUGUUGGAGUGGGAAGCUCUCCUGUUUUACACCUGCAAGCCAAGCCCUCUUGCACUCCUGAUUGGUCAGCAAAGAAGUGGGACGUCUCGUUGGAACUGAGGGGAAACCAGGCCAAGUCAAUUCAACCCCACGACUGUUUUGAUGUAUGAAUAAAUCUACAAAUGUUUAUGCUUGUCUUGUUUGUUUCUUGGAGGUAGUAAUUCAGACUUGUUGAAUUUGGCCAUUUUUAAUGAACCAUGUGGUUUUCUGAUUUCAAUACUGAACAGUGAUAUUUCCUGUCAUCUCAUUAUGUAGUUAUUCUAGGUUUGACUGAUUUCUCACUGGCUAUAGAAAGUUGACUAAUUUUAAGCCAAAUUGUUAUUUGAAUUGAUGUGAGCAGCAUGUUUAGUCAUGUAGAAGGCUUUGACACAAUGGGGUAGAUAAUAUAUGGAAUAAAUUCAGUUUUACGCUGCUACCAGUUCCUAGGCCGUUAUUGAAAAUAAGAGUUUGUUAACGGGCUUGCCUUGUAAAAUAGAGUAACAGUAGCAUGCAAAACAUAAAUCAGAGGGAUUACAUGGAUUACACAAAGAAAUGAGAAGAGAACUGAUCCGCAUUCUUUCAAAUAGACAUUUAGUUUUGUAUACAUUGCCAAGACGAAAUAGUUUUCCAAAUUAGAUUUUUUUUAAAUUAAGUAAUGGGACUUUUUAUUCAAAUGUUGAUUUGUGUAUGAAAUGUUUUCCUAAUAAAGAGAUGACAUGCGUUAAA